rnacentral:rRNA from 1 species
UCCAGACUCCUACGGGAGGCAGCAGUGAGGAAUAUUGGUCAAUGGGCUUACGCCUGAACCAGCCAAGUCGCGUGAGGGAAGACUGCCCUAUGGGUUGUAAACCUCUUUUGUCGGGGAACAAAACCCGGGACGAGUCCCGGACUGCGUGUAUCCGAAGAAAAAGCAUCGGCUAACUCCGUGCCAGCAGCCGCGGUAAUACGGAGGAUGCGAGCGUUAUCCGGAUUUAUUGGGUUUAAAGGGUGCGUAGGCGGUCUGUUAAGUCAGCGGUAAAAUUGCGGGGCUCAACCCCGUCGAGCCGUUGAAACUGGCAGUCUCGAGUUGGAGAGAAGUAUGCGGAAUGCGCGGUGUAGCGGUGAAAUGCAUAGAUAUCGCGCAGAACUCCGAUUGCGAAGGCAGCAUGCCGGCUCCACACUGACGCUGAGGCACGAAAGCGUGGGUAUCGAACAGGAUUAGAUACCCGCGUAU